CCUACGGGUGGCAGCAGUGAGGAAUAUUGGUCAAUGGACGAGAGUCUGAACCAGCCAUGCAGCGUGAAGGAUGACUGCCCUAUGGGUUGUAAACUUCUUUUAUAUGGGAAUAAAACGUUCCACGUGUGGGAUUUUGUAUGUACCUUAUGAAUAAGGAUCGGCUAACUCCGUGCCAGCAGCCGCGGUAAUACGGAGGAUCCGGGCGUUAUCCGGAUUUAUUGGGUUUAAAGGGAACGGAGGUGGAUGGUUAAGUCAGUUGUGAAAUUUUGCGGCUCAACCGUAGAAUUGCAGUUGAAACUGGCAGUCUUGAGUACAGUAGAGGUGGGCGGAAUUCGUGGUGUAGCGGUGAAAUGCUUAGAGAUCACGAAGAACACCGAUUGCGAAGGCAGUUCACUGGACUGCAACUGACACUGAGGCACGAAAGUGUGGGUAUCAAACAGGAUUAGAUACCCGUGUAGUC
rnacentral:rRNA from 1 species